GACGAACGCUGGCGGCGUGCUUAACACAUGCGAGUCGAACGAAGAGCGAUGGAAGCUUGCUUCUAUCAAUCUUAGUGGCGAACGGGUGAGUAACGCGUAAUCAACCUGCCCUUCAGAGGGGGACAACAGUUGGAAACGACUGCCAAUACCGCAUACGAUCUAAUCUCGGCAUCGAGGAUAGAUGAAAGGUGGCCUCUACAUGUAAGCUAUCACUGAAGGAGGGGAUUGCGUCUGAUUAGCUAGUUGGAGGGGUAACGGCCCACCAAGGCGAUGAUCAGUAGCCGGUCUGAGAGGAUGAACGGCCACAUUGGGACUGAGACACGGCCCAGACUCCUACGGGAGGCAGCAGUGGGGAAUCUUCCGCAAUGGACGAAAGUCUGACGGAGCAACGCCGCGUGAGCGAUGACGGCCUUCGGGUUGUAAAGCUCUGUUAAUCGGGACGAAAGGCCUCCUUGCGAAUAGUGAGAAGGAUUGACGGUACCGGAAUAGAAAGCCACGGCUAACUACGUG
rnacentral:rRNA from 1 species